rnacentral:sRNA from 1 species
GUCAAAUUUAACGUAAUAAUGUUACUUGCAGAAAAUAUACAGAAAAUCCGUUUUUUUUUGAAAAGAUGAUUUUCAUUUCUUCUGUUAGGAAAGUCCCCGAGAUAAACAUUUAUUUAUAUAAAUGUUUUAAGAAAAGCUGAUAACUUAAUAAGUUAUUAAUCUUAUAGUUACCAUUGUAGAAAAUAUAAAAAUUUUCUCAAAGGAUAUAAAUAUUAAAAUAGCGAGUCAAAUGUAACGUGUGUUCUAUAAUAUAUUUUAUUGGACAUCACCGAAUGGGGCUUAUACGUAUGUUAAAUUUACCAU